GAGUCGAUGAUGAGAAUCUUAUAUUGUCUGAAGAAGUGAUAACCUGCAAAUCAUGCUCAAUAGGAUUACGCUGAGGCCC